UACGUAGGAUCCGAGCGUUGUCCGGAUUUACUGGGUGUAAAGGGUGCGCAGGCGGAAUGGUAAGUCAGUGGUGAAAUCUCGUCGCUUAACGACGAAACUGCCUUUGAUACUAUCAUUCUUGAAUCCGGUAGAGAUCUGUGGAAUUCCGAGUGUAGCAGUGAAAUGUGUAGAUAUUCGGAAGAACACCAGUGGCGAAGGCAGCAGAUUGGGCCGGUAUUGACGCUCAGGCACGAAAGCACGGGGAUCAAACAGG
rnacentral:rRNA from 1 species